AUCGCUUCUCGGCCUUUUGGCCAAGAGCACCUGAAGAAAAAAAAUCUGUUCUUAUCAGUUUAAUAUCUGAUACUUCCUCUACCCGAGGACUAUAUAUUAAAUGGAUUUUUGGAACAGGGAGUCGGAAGAGGGGCUUGCUCCGUCCGCUCCACGCAUCGACCCGGUAUUGCAGUGCCACUGGGAACGGUGCACUCCUU
ensembl:snRNA U2 U2 spliceosomal RNA